UAUUUGGAAACUCUCUUAUGUGUUUGUGUAUUACUUACUACUAUUCUUGUGUGUGUGUAUAUUACUUACUACUACUCAUGUGUGUAUGUUUAUUACUUACUACUAUUCUUGUUACUUUCUAAACAUUCUCAACACGAUAUCAACACAAGUCUUUUUUAAAUACUAUCAUAAUUUUUUUGCUUUAAUCUUGACUCUUCAAAUAUAUUGCUACUCUUGCUCGAAGAGCGACACGUGAUCUUGCUGUACUUCUUGUUGGCUCCUCACACAUUAGCUGCUUGCUUAGAGCACUUGCUUCACUCUAUGCCCUGCUUACUUAGAAUACUUGCUCCAACCUAGCCUCCUUGCUCCACCCUGCACUUAUUGCUGAACAGUAGCCAAAUUGUUGUCACUGCUUGCUAUCAAUCCUACCACUCAUAUCACCUUGCUGCCGUUGCUGACUACUAAUUGCCAUCGAAUAGCCGUC
rnacentral:lncRNA from 1 species